rnacentral:lncRNA from 1 species
GUAAAUAAAGGCAACAGUAGUAUACCGCUGUUCAAAACUCAUAAAUCCAUGGACAAAAAACAAAAUCGGGGUAACAAACUAAAACCGAGGGAAACGCAUUAAAUAAAAGAGGAGAACGACGACAUAACACCGAAACGUAACACACACAGAAACGGACCAAGCAUCAGACAAAACACCACGAGAAUAACAAAUAUAACAUGAAAACCAAAUACAUGAAUUUGGGAUAGACAAAUACCGUGCCACGUCUUAUCUCAAUUUCUCAAAAAUAAGAGAAAACACAAACGACUCAACGUUAAAAUGCAAC